rnacentral:rRNA from 1 species
CUACACUCCUGCGGGAGGCAGCAGUGGGGAAUAUUGGACAAUGGGCGCAAGCCUGAUCCAGCCAUGCCGCGUGAGUGAUGAAGGCCCUAGGGUUGUAAAGCUCUUUCACCGGUGAAGAUAAUGACGGUAACCGGAGAAGAAGCCCCGGCUAACUUCGUGCCAGCAGCCGCGGUAAUACGAAGGGGGCUAGCGUUGUUCGGAUUUACUGGGCGUAAAGCGCACGUAGGCGGACUAUUAAGUCAGGGGUGAAAUCCCGGGGCUCAACCCCGGAACUGCCUUUGAUACUGGUAGUCUUGAGUUCGAGAGAGGUGAGUGGAAUUCCGAGUGUAGAGGUGAAAUUCGUAGAUAUUCGGAGGAACACCAGUGGCGAAGGCGGCUCACUGGCUCGAUACUGACGCUGAGGUGCGAAAGCGUGGGGAGCAAACAGGAUUAGAAACCCUGGUAGUCCC